GGGAAUAGCAGGGCUGGACUAGAAACUGAAACCUGUCGUAACUCAUUUGUGAUAUUUUCUCUAGAUGCUGAGGAUCUAGGCAAGAGAUCCCUGAUUUCAGGAACCUUCCAGCCUAGUGGGGGAGACAAUCAAUUCUUAAAAGUUGGGUAGAGGGCAGGUAGAAUUGUGGGAUAGAGCAACCAGGGAAACCAGUGGUAAGCACCAUAUGCUUCUACGACUUAACGCUUUCCAUGAAGUGGGUCUGGCUGUCUCUCACCUCCUCAUGAUUCUGUUAGAAGACCAUCCUGAAACAUGUCCAUGAGGAUGGUAGCCAGUCAUACCAGCUAAUUUGUUGCCCUAAGCUCUGGUUAUCUGUUAUUGCCUAAUAAACUACUUUAACAAAUUUGGAAAGACGUGGCUUUGCUAUUCUGCUCCACAUGGCAGAGACUCUGGUUACCAGGUGGUAUAUAACUGGUGCCUGGAUUCAUCCAGAGGGCCCAAGAUGAGUUCAUCCUACAUCCUGGCAAGGCCUCAUGAGACAGCAGAUGACCAGUUACAGGAGAAUCAUCAGAAAGAGAACAAGAAAGACUGAG
rnacentral:lncRNA from 1 species